rnacentral:lncRNA from 1 species
GCCUACUGAACGCGCUAACAACAUGGAACAACAUGGAGUUAUUUGGACAUAAAUUAUGAACUUUAUUGAACAAAACAACAUUUGUUGUGGACCUGGGAUUCCUGGAAGUGCCUUCUGAUGAAGAUUAUUAAAGGAUUCCAGAAUAUCUCCGUCCCAAAACGGCCGCCUUUUAACCUAUGGGCCAUGGUCCAAGUAUGUUCAGGAUCUCCUGGGAUCCUGAGUGGCGCAGCGGUCUAAAAGCAUUAUCUUAGUGCUAGAGGCAUCACUACAGACACCCUGGUUUGAAUCCAGGCUGUAUCA